rnacentral:tRNA from 1 species
GCCUGGGUGGCUCAGUCAGUUAAGCAUCUGACUCCUGAAUUCAGCUCAGGUCAUGAUCUCACAGUUUGUGGGUUCAAGCCCCACAUCGGGCU